rnacentral:rRNA from 1 species
UCGGGAAUUUUGGGCAAUGGGCGAAAGCCUGACCCAGCAACGCCGCGUGAGGGAUGAAGUAUUUCGGUAUGUAAACCUCGAAAGAAUGGGAAGAAUAAAUGACGGUACCAUUUAUAAGCUCCGGCUAACUACGUGCCAGCAGCCGCGGUAAUACGUAGGGGGCAAGCGUUAUCCGGAAUUAUUGGGUUUAAAGGGUGCGUAGGCGGACUAAUAAGUCAGUGGUGAAAGCCUGCAGCUUAACUGCAGAAUUGCCAUUGAUACUGUUAGUCUUGAGUGCAGUUGAGGUAGGCGGAAUGUGUCAUGUAGCGGUGAAAUGCUUAGAUAUGACACAGAACACCGAUUGCGAAGGCAGCUUGCUAAGCUGUAACUGACGCUGAGGCACGAAAGCGUGGGGAGCAAACA